rnacentral:rRNA from 1 species
CAGUCGCCGGCGGUAAUACGGAGGGCGCGAGCGUUACCCGGAUUUACUGGGCGUAAAGGGCGUGUAGGCGGCCUGGGGCGUCCCAUGUGAAAGGCCACGGCUCAACCGUGGAGGAGCGUGGGAUACGCUCAGGCUAGAGGGUGGGAGAGGGUGGUGGAAUUCCCGGAGUAGCGGUGAAAUGCGCAGAUACCGGGAGGAACGCCGAUGGCGAAGGCAGCCACCUGGUCCACUUCUGACGCUGAGGCGCGAAAGCGUGGGGAGCAAACCGGAUUAGAGACCCCUGUAGUCCCUGUCUCUUAUA